rfam:Asian citrus Psyllid, Diaphorina citri - Florida Strain, whole genome shotgun sequence.
GUGUCUAGGUAUAUCAGGUUGAAUGCAUCAGUUUGCAGCAGACCACUGAAGUUAAGCAACACUGAGCAUGGAUCGUACUUGAAUGGGUGAUUACCUGGAAAAAUUACCUACUUAUACUUA